rnacentral:rRNA from 1 species
GAUGAACGCUGGCGGCGUGCCUAAUACAUGCAAGUCGAGCGAACAGACGAGGAGCUUGCUCCUCUGACGUGAGCGGCGGACGGGUGAGUAACACGUGGAUACCCUACCUAUGAGACUGGGAUCACUUCGGGAAACCGGAGCUAACACCGGAUAAUAUAUUGAACCGCAUGGUUCAUUAGUGAAAGACGGUUUUGCUGUCACUUAUAGAUGUUUCCUCGCCGCAUUAGCUAGUUGGUACGGUAACGGCUUACCAAGGCAACGAUGCGUAGCCGACCUGAGAGGGUGAUCGGCCACACUGGAACUGAGACACGGUCCAGACUCCUACGGGAGGCAGCAGUAGGGAAUCUUGCGCAAUGGGCGAAAGCCUGACGGAGCAACGCCGCGUGAGUGAUGAAGGUCUUCGGAUCGUAAAACUCUUUUAUUAGGGAAGAACAAAUGUGUAAGUAAAUAUGCACGUCUUGACGGUACCUAAACAGAAAGCAACGGCUAACUACGUG